ACUCACUCCGUUUCUGGUUUAGUAAUAUAAAGAUUUUCCCCUGAAAGACACAAACCCUUCGAUACAGCCGAACCGAUGGAGACGACGCCGAAGAUUGGCAAAGACGAGGUAAUAGCGAAGCUCAAGGACGACGGCGACUUCGACAAACUCCGCCUCAAGAUCAUUCGCAAGCUCAAGGACAACGAGGUGUUGCGGAAUGAGAUUAUUUCAAUAGUGAAGCAGUCUGCAGUGCUCAAUCGCACAGGUGCUGAAAAUAUGAAACCCAGACAACUUUCUGAUGCCAUACAUGAUGAGAUUCGGAAUAAAGUAAAUAGCCGGAUAUCUGAUGCUUUGUGGGAAAUAAUUAAAUCACGUGACGGUAUGAAAGGUGAAAUUACAGAAACUGUACAAUCUGUCUAUGAUAAAUUAGUGAACCCUAAAGUGAAAGAAGAGGGUGAAUCAUCCACCAAUGGCAUGAUGCUAAUUCGAAAGGAAGCUGAAAAUAAUGGUUCUAUCAUAGCCCCGGCUAGUGAAGUGGAUAACACAUUUUCUGAUAGCGAGCCAAAAGAACCUCCAGGUUUUUCUCUCUUCAGUAGUCAUCAAAAUAACACCCAUGAGGAGCAACACAAACAGGAGCUUCAGCCACCAAUGCCUCACGAAAGAGGACCGGUAGAGGAGCAGAAGGACAAUACCCAUUACUCACAGGAUGUAUUGGAGCCGGAAGAAAUUGAUCUGUGUGUACUACCUGGAGACAUGGAGCUGAAGCAGCCAUAUGAUGGUAGUGAUGAGGACCCUGAUUUGCCUCCUGGUUUUGGGUGAUGCAAUGACAUGUGAUGAAGUUUUUCACUACUAUUUAUGAACCAUUACAUUUGGUAGAGACUGUACAAUGAAGGAUUUAGCUACAAGUACUGCCUCGGUAUUCCCUUCUCCUUCUGCACUGAAUUUUGGCUAUCAGGGAGGCUUUUCUGAGUCCACCAUAAUUGAGCCAACAAAGCCAGUAGCGGAUAAAGCAUACCAAGUCACAAUACAAGUUACUGCUUGCAUAGUAUGUCUACAUGCACUACUUAAACCUAACAGAGAUUGGACUUCUAACGCAAUGUUUAGCAGAAACCCAUUUUAGAAACCCUUGUCCAUAUUCACCGACUUUGGUACCUGACCCAGUACGACUGAAGGUCACUGAAUAUUUCACUUUCUGGUUCACCCGUGAGAAGUAAAGCUUAUUGGGCUUUACACUCACAUAAACUCCUUCUGGUGCAGCCACAGUGACCGUAUAAGAUGAAGUUGCGUCACCAACAUUUGUCACAGUCCUCGUAAAUGUCUGAGAUGGUCCCAGUGCAACAGAGAACGAAGGGUAAUUUAGCUCUCCUUCGGGUAUGCUUGAUAUAUCUGAGCACUUUAUUUUUCUAUGCGCAAGGAUCCCAACUUCCUCAUCUUUGUAGCCCAGACCACACAGAUAUGGUAUAUAAUCGUCUGGUUGAAUAUCGUAAACUAAUCCUGGGUUGUCUGCUCUUGUUGGAUUGACAUGGCCUGCACCUGUGGCAAAGACAUCUGCAGGCUGAAGCGUUUGAUCAACAAUGGCUUUGCCUUCAACAUUUUGUGUAUAAGCAGAAGUCAUUAUAGCAGAUUUAAUGGCAGCUGGUGACCAAUAUGGAUGAGAGCUCUUGAGCAAAGCUGCAAUGCCACUAAGAUGAGGGCAAGACAUUGAUGUGCCAGAAAUGAUGUUGAAAGUGGACCUUGAGUUUGUACGAUUAUCAAGAGGGAAAGGCCAAGCGGCUAGAAUGCUCACUCCUGGUCCAAUGAUGUCUGGUUUGAGAAUGCCUGGGCUUUCUAGGUUGGGGCCUCUUGAAGAGAAAGAAGCAACAAGGGGAGAUAAUGGGUUCCCAAUGACAGUUCCUUUGAAUAAGAUUGCUGCUGUAGGUGUUGCUGUGGAGUUUAUGUAGGCUUUGAUCUUUUGUCCAGCAGCAUGGCUGACAUGUGUUGCAGGAAGAACAUGAGCUUCAGCCUCGGUAGAGAAGCCGUUGCUUUCUUCAUUCAUGAGAAUCAUGGCAGCACCCCCAGCAUUUUUAACUUCCUCCCCCUUAGCAAUUCUUCGUAUACCCCCUCCUCCCUCGCACAGAACUACUUUCCCUUUGACAUCAAUGUCUUUCAAGGAUCCUGCUGCACAUAAUGUGGACUCUGGUUUACCGUUCACUCCAGCAUAAACAAGAGGCAAUGGUGUUGAAGGGAAGUCAACAGGCUGGAAGAGGGAUUCACCAUCAAAUUCUUCUCCAUUUCCAAGCUUUGCUGUGGAUAUGAUGCUUCUGUCAAUUGUGCUUGCUCCAACUGUGAGUAUCCAUGGGGCUUCAUUAGAUAUUGUGCCAUUGAAAGGACCAGAAUUCCCGGCUGCACAGCUUAUGAAUAUCCCCUUUUGGAUCGCGGCAAAUGAGCCUACUGCAAUGCUGUCCUUGAAAAAUGGAACUGAAUCUCCACCAAGGGAGAGUGAGAGCACAUCGACCCCAUCUUCAACAGCAGCAUCAAGCCCAGCGAGAAUGUCACUUUCGGGACAAUCAUCUGUUGGAUCUCCAAAGCACACUUUGUAAAUUGCCAAGUGGGCAUAAGGUGCCAUUCCAACUGCUGUGCCUUUGGCAUUUCCUAGCACAUCAGCAUUCUUUACAAACCCACCAGCUGCUGUGCUUGCAGUGUGGGUACCGUGUCCAUCUACAUCAAUUGGUGCCUCAGCUGUCCCUCCCUUCAUAGCCUUAGCUGCGAGAUUGAAUGACCUUGCACCAAUUAGUUUGUUGUUACAGUCUGACAAGUUGAACUCACACCUCCCUUUCCAUUUAGCAGGUGGCGGCGGCAUUCCUGCAUCACUAAACGAAGGAUGGGAAGGCAGAACUCCACCAUCCAAUACUCCGAUAAUCACCCCCUUUCCAAAAUUUGAUUCUUUCCAGAAUCCCAGUUGCUGGUGCAACCCCAAGAACUUGGGGCUGUGUGUUGUUUGUGGAUGUAAUAUCCUUUCAGGAUGCGCUGCCACGAAACCAUCCUUCUCUGCCAUAGCUCUCACUUGCUCCUGGGUCAGUCUUGCUGCAAAACCGCUAAUCACAUUUUGGUAUGAAUACAGCAUGCGUGGUUGCUUAUCCGCGCUUGCGGUAGUAGUUGGCAUGAAAGAACGGUGCCAGCUCUCACGAUCUUCUGAUUGGGCAAAAACUCUACCCUCCGGUUGCUCGACGUGGAUAAUGUAAGUCUGUAAAUUGCUAAUAUCAGUACCUUUGGUGACAGAUGAAAUUGCACUUCCACAAGCAAUCUCAAAAUAGAAGAUAAACAUGAAAAUGAGAGAAAGAAAAGGCGGAGUUGCCAUCUUUGGUGACAAUACAACUUUCUGCAAGAGGUAGAAGUGGGGGGAGAAAGGCAGAGUUGUUUGUGUGACCUCAAUUGGUUGCCAUACUGACUUAUAUAGGAGAGAAGGAGAGUGAGAGGGGUCGGUAUUUCCACAUGAGCCUAUUCUGGGAUUAGCGCAUUGCUGUUGGAGCCUUGUGCUUGCAGCCCGUAGGGGAUUUUCUUUAGUGCUUAAAUUUUUGCUUUAGACGGCAACAGUAUUUGCUUAGAGGAUACCAAUUGUCUUGCCAAGCUUUUUAUCUUCCUUUUUUUUUUUUGGCCAAGUGGACUCGACUUAGCUUGUCUAGCUCGCAAUAAAAGUAUGACUCAGUCAUUGAUGG